UAUCCUUAUUUGCCAGCGAGUUAUGUCGGGAACUCUAAGGAGACUGCCGGUGAUAAACCGGAGGAAGGUGGGGACGACGUCAAGUCAUCAUGGCCCUUACGGGAUGGGCUACACACGUGCUACAAUGGCAAGUACAGAGGGCUGCAAUACCGCGAGGUUGAGCGAAUCCCACAAAGCUUGUCGUAGUCCGGAUUGGAGUCUGCAACUCGACUCCAUGAAGUCGGAAUCGCCAGUAAUCGUAGAUCAGAAUGCUACGGUGAAUACGUUC
rnacentral:rRNA from 1 species